rnacentral:rRNA from 1 species
AUGCUGAUGCUCCUGGCUCAAAGGUCCGCCGCCUCCAGGAUGGGUCUGCGGCCGAUUAGGUUGUGUUGGGGUAACGGCCCAACAAGCCUUUGAUCGGUACGGGUUGUGAGAGCAAGAGCCCGGAGAUGGAUUCUGAGACACGAAUCCAGGCCCUACGGGGCGCAGCAGGCGCGAAAACUUUACAAUGCGAGAAAUCGUGAUAAGGGAACCCCGAGUGCCCGUAAAUUCGGGCUGUCCGCCAGUGUAAAUAGCUGGUGAAGAAAGGGCCGGGCAAGACCGGUGCCAGCCGCCGCGGUAAUACCGGCGGCUCGAGUGGUGGCCACUAUUACUGGGCUUAAAGCGUCCGUAGCUUGAUUGUUAAGUCUCUUGGGAAAUCCACCGGCUCAACCGAUGGGCGUUCAGGAGAAACUGGCAAUCUAGGGACCGGGAGAGGUGAGAGGUACUCCAGGGGUAGGAGUGAAAUCUUGUAAUCCUUGGGGGACCACCUGUGGCGAAGGCGUCUCACUAGAACGGCUCCGACAGUGAGGGACGAAAGCUGGGGGAGCAAACCGGAUUAGAUACCCGGGUAGUCCCAGCCGUAAACGAUGCGCGUUAGGUGUAUCGGUGACCACGAGUCAUCGAGGUGCCGAAGGGAAACCGUGGAACGUGCCGCCUGGGAAGUACGGUCGCAAGGCUGAAACUUAAAGGAAUUGGCGGGGGAGCACCACAACAGGUGGAGCCUGCGGUUUAAUUGGACUCAACGCCGGGCAGCUCACCGGAUAAGACAGCUGAAUGAUAGCCGGGCUGAAGACUCUGCUUGACUAGCUGAGAGGAGGUGCAUGGCCGUCGUCAGUUCGUACUGUGAAGCAUCCUGUUAAGUCAGGCAACGAGCGAGACCCA